UAUCCUAAGCGACAUCACGUGAGAAGUAACGAGAAUGCGUGCAUGCUUUCACUUUUCGAACUGUUUUCGAGCAGGACAGAUCGUUUAUCUGUCCUCUCUUGUCAUUUGUUGGAGCACGUGGCAAUUCAAUAGAUGUAAGUUUUUUAAAUUUAAUUAAUGUUUAUAGAAGGUUUAUGUUUACCCGAGGAGGGAUUUUUAGUAGUGUUAUAAAACCUGAGGAGGGUUUUUUUCUCAAUUUCAAUUGUUUAUUUUAGUCUUAAUUUGAACCCGAGGAGGGUGUAUUUUCUUUUGAGUUUAAUUUGAACCAGAGGAUGGUGUAUACUUUACGUUUAGUUUAUUUU
rnacentral:lncRNA from 1 species